GGCAUGGAUUAGGCAUGCAAGUUCGUGCGAGAAGUUUGCCUUCGGGCGGACGGACAGCGGCGAAAGGGAGAGUAACGCGUGGAUACCUACCCCCAGAUCCGGGAUAGCCAGCCGAAAGGCGGGGUAAUACCGGAUAAUGUCUUCGGACCAAAGGUGUGAUUCCGUCCGGGGAUGGGUCCGCGUCCUAUUAGCUUGUUGGCGGGGUAAUGGCCCACCAAGGCUGUGAUGGGUACCGGGCGUUAGCGCGUGGCCCGGCUCACUGGGACUGAGACACUGCCCAGACACCUACGGGUGGCUGCAGUCGAGAAUCUUCGGCAAUGGGCGAAAGCCUGACCGAGCGACGCCGCGUGCGAGAUGAAGGCCUUCGGGUUGUAAAUCGCUGUCGGAGGGGAGGAAAUCUUGAAGGGUUCUCUCUUCAAGUUGACCUAUCCUCGGAGGAAGGACGGGCUAAGUUCGUGCCAGCAGCCGCGGUAAGACGAACCGUCCAAACGUUAUUCGGAAUUACUGGGCUUAAAGGGUGCGUAGGCGGCCGUUCAAGUCGGGUGUGAAAGCCCUCAGCUCAACUGAGGAACUGCGCCCGAUACUGUUCGGCUUGAGGAAGGCAGAGGUGAGCGGAACUUGCGGUGGAGCGGUGAAAUGCGUUGAUAUCGCAAGGAACACCAGUAGCGAAGGCGGCUCACUGGGCCUUUUCUGACGCUGAGGCACGAAAGCUAGGGUAGCGAAGAGGAUUAGAUACCCUCGUAGUCCUAGCUGUAAACGUUGAGCACUGGGUCGGAGAACCCUCCAUAGUUUUCCGGCCGUAGCGAAAGUGUUUAAGUGCUCCGCCUGGGGAGUAUGGUCCCAAGGCUGAAACUCAAAG
rnacentral:rRNA from 1 species